GAUGAACGCUGGCGGCGUGCUUAACACAUGCAAGUCGAACGGGAAUUAUUUUAUUGAAACUUCGGUCGAUUUAAUUUAAUUCUAGUGGCGGACGGGUGAGUAACGCGUGGGUAACCUGCCUUAUACAGGGGGAUAACAGUCAGAAAUGGCUGCUAAUACCGCAUAAGCGCACAGAGCUGCAUGGCUCAGUGUGAAAAACUCCGGUGGUAUAAGAUGGACCCGCGUUGGAUUAGCUUGUCGGCAGGGUAACGGCCUACCAAGGCGACGAUCCAUGGCCGGCCUGAGAGGGUGAACGGCCACAUUGGGACUGAGACACGGCCCAGACUCCUACGGGAGGCAGCAGUGGGGAAUAUUGCACAAUGGGGGAAACCCUGAUGCAGCGACGCCGCGUGAAGGAAGAAGUAUCUCGGUAUGUAAACUUCUAUCAGCAGGGAAGAUAGUGACGGUACCUGACGAAGAAGCCCCGGCUAACUACGUG
rnacentral:rRNA from 1 species